rnacentral:rRNA from 1 species
CCUACGGGUGGCAGCAGUGAGGAAUAUUGGUCAAUGGGCGCGAGCCUGAACCAGCCAAGUCGCGUGAGGGAAGACGGUCCUAUGGAUUGUAAACCUCUUUUGUCGGGGAGCAAAAGACGCCACGCGUGGCGUUCCGAGAGUACCCGAAGAAAAAGCAUCGGCUAACUCCGUGCCAGCAGCCGCGGUAAUACGGAGGAUGCGAGCGUUAUCCGGAUUUAUUGGGUUUAAAGGGUGCGCAGGCGGAAGAUCAAGUCAGCGGGAAAAUUGAGAGGCUCAACCUCUUCGAGCCGUUGAAACGGGGUUUCUAGAGUGAGCGAGAAGUAUGCGGAAUGCGUGGUGUAGCGGUGAAAUGCAUAGAUAUCACGCAGAACACCGAUUGCGAAGGCAGCAUACCGGCGCUUAACUGACGCUCAUGCACGAAAGUGUGGGUAUCGAACAGGAUUAGAUACCCUUGUAGUC